rfam:Trichosporon asahii var. asahii CBS 8904 mitochondrion, complete sequence, whole genome shotgun sequence.
GGGAGAAUAGCAUAAUCGGUUAAUGUCCCAUUUUGUCAAGAUGGUUUAUGACGGUUCGAGUCCGUUUUCUCUCG